rnacentral:rRNA from 1 species
CGGCAACGGAUAUCUCGGCUCUCGCAUCGAUGAAGAACGUAGCGAAAUGCGAUACUUGGUGUGAAUUGCAGAAUCCCGUGAACCAUCGAGUCUUUGAACGCAAGUUGCGCCCGAAGCCAUCAGGCCGAGGGCACGCCUGCCUGGGCGUCACAUGCCGUUGCCCCC